rnacentral:rRNA from 1 species
UACGUAGGGGGCUAGCGUUGUCCGGAAUCAUUGGGCGUAAAGCGCGUGUAGGCGGUCCGGUAAGUCCGCUGUGAAAGUCGGGGGCUCAACCCUCGGAUGCCGGUGGAUACUGUCGGGCUUGAGUACGGAAGAGGCGAGUGGAAUUCCUGGUGUAGCGGUGAAAUGCGCAGAUAUCAGGAGGAACACCAAUUGCGAAGGCAGCUCGCUGGGACGUUACUGACGC